rnacentral:lncRNA from 1 species
UACAACAAAAUUGCUCUUUAGCUUCAAAAACAUUAGCGUCUGCCUCUACGCGGACGCUACUAGCGUCUAUUUAGAGUCUGUUAGACUGACUCUACUGUCUUUUUAUUGUAAAUCUUUAUUUUAAUUGAAUAAUUAUUGUUAGCGUCCGCUUUGAUAGAGACAAUUGAGACACUAAUAAAAAAUAAAAAUAAAGUUAUCUCAGAGUCUGCUGGGACGGACUCUAAUGAAACUAAAUAAAAUAAAAUAAAAUAAAAAACUAAGCGUGAAAUUUGUUUUCCCACUCUUAUUUCCAUUUUAUUUUUAUUUUCAAAACACAGUGAAAAAGAAUCGCGAGAAACAGUCACGAGAAAGAGCCUAUGUCGUCUCCGUCUCCGCCGAAGCUUGCUGCCGGUGAACUCACGACAGCUUUUCUGUCCGUAGCAGGUAUCUAUUCAACUCAGAUG